AGAAAAUAUGCAAAAUAUAUUAAAACAUAAGUAUGUACAUACGUUAUACACAUGAUUUUUUUAGACUGCAACAACUCAAUAUGUGUAUGCUGAAUAAAAAAAUAAUCAAUUCCUCAUCCAAUAACGAAAAUAUUACGAGUAGUCAUAAUAUCCACAAAAGCUAUAAUACUUGUGUUUCUACUUUAUUUUACUUUAUCUUUUUUACACAAAAAACAGAAAAUUAAAUGCAAACACCAUUAUUAAACGUCAAUCCAAUUGAUGGAUUUACUUCCUAUUAUCAGAUUGUUCAUAUAUAACGCAAUAUAAAAAAUACAUAGAUAUGCAUCAUUAAAAAGAAUCAAUAUUGCUAUAAUAAGAUAUUAAUCGUAUAUGUGAAUAUGAUUUUUAUCAAAAUAAAUCUGAGAUGCAAAGAACAGAAUAUUUCUAAGAAAUCUUCAAAAAGAGUGCUUAAAAGCGGACCUCGCUAGAUAUAAUUAAUCGACAUCGACAGCGAUCGAUUAGUGACGAAGUCGAUCAAUCAUUUCUAGAGAGAAUAAAGUAAUAACGUUUCGGGGUGACAGUGUACAUUAACGUGCGGCUUUAACGUUUAUUUUGAUACGGUCAGUGCGUAGACGUAGCUGUCAUUAUUAUUUGCGCGACACGUCCCGAAUCUGCAAGUAAUCGUGUGAAGUUUGUCGCGAACCGUCGCGUCGGUCGCGCGUGCCGUUGUCUUAUCGUCCGAAACGCGAGCGCGACAGGUUAGCGAUGAGUACGAGACGAGACGAAACGAGAAGAGAUCUUUUGUUUCGAUUGUUAGUUAAGGACUGCUAGACCGCGUACUAAAUAAAUUUUAAAAGUUGAGCAACAUCCGUAUUUAAUUAAGGAGCAAACAAUGAAUCGUACGAGCGUUUGACUAAUAUCGAGAGUGCCGCAAAGUGCUACGCGAUUGUAUUCUAAUAAUUCACACGUGUAACCGUGUCUCGGCGUUCCCGUGAGUGUUGUGUGAGUGCAAACCAUCUGAGAGGAGGAGGAGGCCUGGGUGGCAUCGGGUGACAGUGGAGCAACCAUGGACUCAAUAUUUUUUAUUCAACUCCACUGCUGCGCAUCGUAUCGAAAAUACUACCCGAUGAGAAGAAGCGAUACGCCGAUGAGAACGUACAAGCUCACCGUCUGUCAAUGCCGCCAAGAAACCAUUGGCUUCUCUUAAGUAGCACGAUGGCCGAGAUGCAAGGCUAACAUAAUCAACCGUACUUUCUCCAAAGACCACGGGAAAUGUUUGAACCCGGUAAUGAUUGCAGUUUCAAAUAAUUACGUUUUUAAGAAUACUUCUACAAUUUUAUUUUUCUUUAUAAUACUUGAUUAUUUAUGCUGACAACACAUGUUUAUUUAAUUAGCUAAAGGAGAAGAAUAGUUGAAUUAGAAUUUAGUACUUUAUAAGUAAUAGCUGAAGGAAAGUACAAGGAUACUGAAAUAUUGUACUUGCAAAAGUUUAUCAAGAGCUUUAUCACGAUUUAAUUAAUGAUUAUUCACUUAUAAUGAAAAAUUAUAACGAUUAUAUAAAUAAUUUUUUAUGCAAUUUAUGUCUUAUCAAUGGUCUAUUAAAUUUCUUUAACAAUCACAUUCUACAACAAUAUAACAAAUAAAAUGAGUCAUUAAUGAUAAUUAUAGCGGACUCUUUUGUCAAAAGUUUCUAAUUGCUUGUAAUUUAAUAUUUAUUAAUUUUAUAUUAAAAAAGAUUUUUGAUUGCCGAACAUCAUAACCUGAUCAUACAUGUAAUAAAUUUGCUUAUGCAAGUUAACAUAUACUUAUGAAGCAAACUAUAUCAAUAAUAAAACUUGUCACUUUGCAA
rnacentral:lncRNA from 1 species